UUAGGCCACACUGCCUCUUGGAAGGGUGUAGGCAGGACUGCUGAAGGAAGCCUUUAGUGUGUUUCUUUUAUCCACCUCCACAGCCCACACCAGUAGUUGCCUGCCUUCCAUUGUGUCCCUGGCCGUGCUGAGCGCCCUGAUGCUGUUGACGGUGUCUCUGAGUCUCAUCUGGACCCUCUGCCCUUCCAGGCUAGGAUUGCCGCCCAGGAGCUCAGCGCCUCCAGCUUCACAGGAGAAUCAGGGUGGAAUCUUAUACGCUCAUCUGGAUUUUGAUUCGCGGAAUCGUGAUGGGCGCAAGAUGCAGCAACCGGCCAGAGGGAAGAG